AGAACGCUUCUGCUUGCAGAGGCUAGUAAAGUGGCGCACGGGUGAGUAACACGUGGGUAAUCUACCUUCGGAUUGGGGAUAACAUUGCGAAAGCGAUGCUAAUACCGGAUAAUAUCGCUUGAUUUUAGGAUCUUGCGAUCAAAGGUGGCCUCUUCAUGAAAGCUAUUGUCUGAAGAUGAGCCCGCGUCCCAUUAGCUUGUUGGUAGGGUAACGGCCUACCAAGGCAACGAUGGGUAGCUGGUCUGAGAGGAUGAUCAGCCACACUGGAACUGACACACGGUCCAGACUCCUACGGGAGGCAGCAGUGAGGAAUUUUGCGCAAUGGGCGAAAGCCUGACGCAGCAACGCCGCGUGAGUGAUGAAGGCUUUCGGGUCGUAAAGCUCUGUCAAGUGGGAAGAACCUAUAAAGUGCCAAUACCACUUUGUACUGACGGUACCACUGAAGGAAGCACCGGCUAACUCCGUGCCAGCAGCCGCGGUAACACGGGGGGUGCAAGCGUUACUCGGAAUCAUUGGGCGUAAAGGGCGCGCAGGCGGCCCAAUCAGUCAGAUGUGAAAGCCCGGGGCUCAACCCCGGAAGUGCAUUUGAUACUGUUGGGCUUGAGUAUGGGAGAGGAAAGUGGAAUUCCUGGUGUAGAGGUGAAAUUCGUAGAUAUCAGGAGGAACACCUGUGGCGAAGGCGACUUUCUGGACCAAUACUGACGCUGAGGCGCGAAGGCGUGGGUAGCAAACAGGAUUAGAUACCCUGGUAGUCCACGCAGUAAACGUUGUUCACUAGGUGUAGCGGGUAUUGACCCCUGC
rnacentral:rRNA from 1 species